rnacentral:rRNA from 1 species
UACGUAGGUGGCAAGCGUUGUCCGGAUUUACUGGGCGUAAAGGAUGCGUAGGCGGACAUUUAAGUCAGAUGUGAAAUACCCGAGCUUAACUUGGGUGCUGCAUUUGAAACUGGGUGUCUAGAGUGCAGGAGAGGUAAGUGGAAUUCCUAGUGUAGCGGUGAAAUGCGUAGAGAUUAGGAAGAACACCAGUGGCGAAGGCGAUUUACUGGACUGUAACUGACGCUGAGGCAUGAAAGCGUGGGGAGCAAACAGG